AAAAUGUGUGAUUCAAUGCGCACACUACCAUUUAGCACUUUGUUUCAAUUUGUUCAGCAUCCACCUCCUUCAUCCGAGAUGAGAACUGGUGUACCCAUAAUCCUCUUUGUUGCAGUGGCAGGUUUCCACAGUGUGAUUUCAUUUUCUCUGCAAUGUGAUGAAACGACUAAAUUGUCAGAAGAGAGAGCGUUUGAAGAGAACAGCACAACACCACAAACAGAUGGAGAGACAAAGGCAGUGACAGACACUACAGAGGAGGAAAAUGGUGAAGAAUCAGACGAUGGUGAGAGAGAGGCACUAGCAGACUCUACAGGAGCGAACACCGGAAGUGACGCGCCAACAGGAAGGUCACGCUCGGUGGAGGUCCAUUCAUCACCACACGAGGGCGACAAACACAGUGAGCAGGUGGAAGAGAAUGUGAAAAGUUCUGAGGAUUCCAGUGAAGAAUACGGUGGAUAUUACGAUUCUUAAGACUGUGUGGAAGGCAUCUAACAUCUUUAAACCUAAAUGCCUUGUUUUAUAAAUCAUAUUGCAAAAUUUCUAACCAACUGUCUGUAGCACCUGGACAAAAAACAUGCAUUGUGACCACUGCUUUUUUUUUCUUUCCAAAUAAAGACUGUAAGCACUGGCGGGUGUCCAGCAUUCAUAGAAACGCUAGGUUGCAGAUGGGUGUAAUAACAGAUGAUUACAUGGCUUCUUAGAGGCAGCAGUGUGAGUAGCAGAUGUGGCAGUGUUAGAACAUAUCUAGGACGGUUAUCCAGGCCAGCGGCGUCUACAGUCCGUGGGUGCUCAUUUGAGCUUUAUUUAUAUCAUCUGCAUUGUCCCAGCUUAUUUUUGGACCAAAGAUGCAUCAUCGCCCGUCCCCAAAUCCCACAACCUGAUGAGGACGAGCUGUUUUACUGCAUAUAGAGCAGCAAGCAUUUAUUGCGGUUUUACUGUAUAUAGAAAAAGACUCCUAAACUCUCAAGAAAUACUUUGCAAUUGUGGAGGGAAAUGUUGAUAGUUCUUUGCUAAAUGCAUGUUUCGCAUUUAGUCCAUGUUGUAAUGCAUCGUUUUAAUGGUCAAAAUUUAAAUCUAUAGUGUUUUGUCUGUUAAGGAUUAGGGAACUACACAC
rnacentral:lncRNA from 1 species